GGUAAAAUGGCUGAAGUAAGGCGGUAAAUUGUAAAUUUAUUUAUGAGUUAAUCUUUUACUA
rnacentral:tRNA from 1 species